rnacentral:rRNA from 1 species
UGGGGAAUUUUGGACAAUGGGCGCAAGCCUGAUCCAGCCAUGCCGCGUGCGGGAAGAAGGCCUUCGGGUUGUAAACCGCUUUUGUCAGGGAAGAAACGCUCUGGGCUAAUACCCUGGGGUAAUGACGGUACCUGAAGAAUAAGCACCGGCUAACUACGUGCCAGCAGCCGCGGUAAUACGUAGGGUGCAAGCGUUAAUCGGAAUUACUGGGCGUAAAGCGUGCGCAGGCGGUUAUGCAAGACAGAUGUGAAAUCCCCGGGCUCAACCUGGGAACUGCAUUUGUGACUGUAUAGCUAGAGUACGGUAGAGGGGGAUGGAAUUCCGCGUGUAGCAGUGAAAUGCGUAGAUAUGCGGAGGAACACCGAUGGCGAAGGCAAUCCCCUGGACCUGUACUGACGCUCAUGCACGAAAGCCAGGGGAGCAAACGGGAUUAGAUACCCUAGUAGUCCCUGAGCGGGCUGGCAAGGCGCAU